CAAAAAAGCAAACGCUGACUUUACUUCACGGAGAAAGCAAAGCAAGAUUUAAAAAAACCAAGAAGGCUAAUAGUGGUCGCGCGCGUGCGCUACUGGCGGCAAUGGCAGGCGCGUGCAGCCCGCGAGCUCCACCUACGUGCGAGCAGAGCUCGAUGUGGUGUCCACAGUUUCGUGAGCUCUGACCACCCCUUCCUCAUUUCAGUACAGCUUCGGAAGCAGGAACUUCACAGGACGGUGAAACGUUUCUCCGCACUUCUAUGACAGCUUCGUUUGAAAACGUAAUUUACGUAAAUAUGUUUUUACUGACAUACAGGUAAAAGGUAACGGGCGGUAGCCGGCGUCUGCCAUAUAAAUUACCGCUUUUCUCAACACAGCCUAACAAGUUUUUAAAGGCUUCCUACAGGAAACGCCGUGAAACCUGCAGGCAGGUGGACCGUCCUUCAAGCCAGGGCCGUUUCAGCGAUUUCUCCUCUGAAACGGGCUUUUGCGCUCAGCUGAGCGAUGGACCCGCAGAGCGGUCUCCUGUCCCGCGCCGGAACCUCCCUAUGGACACUCUUCCAGGGCGCCGUGGUGGAUGCCCCCUCUUUGGAUUUCACUGCCCAAAAGUCUCGAAUUGCCCUUAAGAACCACCUGGUUCGUCCACCCAAGGAUCCUCGAAUACUCCUGCAGAAAGCCUCUGUGAUCCCUAUCCAUUCAGCCCCACCCCAGGAGGAGGGGUUUAACACAAAGCCAGUGAUGAUGAAGGUGGGAGGUGGUGGAGUGAUGGGAAUCAAACUGCCAGGCUUUGGCGGUGGAAUUCCAGCACUGAAGAAAAAAGAAAAAGGAGUGAGUGAAAAAAGUGAGGAAGUUACUGGACAGAUCAGUGAGAAGGAACUCACUGCAAAUGUUGGAAUUGAUGUCAGGGAGCAGAGCAGCACAAAACAAAGGGAGGCAGGACCCAAAAUGGGAGGAGUCGGGGCGAUUGGAGUGAAGCUACCUGCUUUUGGUACAGGACUGCCUAUUUUAAAGAAGACAGACCGGGGAGUGAAGAUGAGGGAGGAUGUUGCAGAUGAUGGUGAAUAUGGAACAGCAAGGGCUGAAGGAAAAGGAGCAGAAUCAAAGGAAAAGGAGGUGAAAAGUACUGGAGCACCAGCUGUAAAACUACCAAGUUUUGGCGCUGGAUUUCCUAUGCUGAGAAAGACUGAAAGGGGAGCGAAAAUGAGAAGUGGAGAAGACUUGGAAAAGUCUGAAGCAGAUAAUUUAAACGACACAGACAAGCCAGAUGGAGGAUCUCCAUCCAACAAGGCUGAUGUAGGAAAUCCUCUACUGUCAGAGCUUAAGUUUAAAUUAAAGAAGACUGACAAGAAGUGAGAGUGAUAUCCUGCGUUUCUUUUUAUACAAUACUGUGUGCAUAUGAAUUUCGACAUUAUUUUACCAUUACUUACCUGCAUUUCGUGCACUAUUAAGUAGGGUUGCCAGCAGUGUAUGCAAUUUUACCGUAAUACCCUAAAGAAUAAAUGUUUGUUCAAGCAUACA
rnacentral:lncRNA from 1 species